CAGCCGCCGCGGUAAUACGGAGGGGGCUAGCGUUGUUCGGAAUUACUGGGCGUAAAGCGCACGUAGGCGGCUUGGUAAGUUAGAGGUGAAAGCCUGGAGCUCAACUCCAGAAUUGCCUUUAAGACUGCCGAGCUAGCAGGUGAGAGAGGUAAGUGGAAUUCCGAGUGUAGAGGUGAAAUUCGUAGAUAUUCGGAAGAACACCAGUGGCGAAGGCGGCUUACUGGCUCAUACUGGACGCUGAGGUGCGAAAGCGUGGGGAGCAAACAGGAUUAGAUACCCUCGUAGUCCCUGUCUCUUAUAA
rnacentral:rRNA from 1 species